rnacentral:rRNA from 1 species
AUGCCGCGUGAGUGAAGAAGGCCUUUGGGUUGUAAAGCUCUUUCGUCGGGGAAGAAAAUGACUGUACCCGAAUAAGAAGGUCCGGCUAACUUCGUGCCAGCAGCCGCGGUAAUACGAAGGGACCUAGCGUAGUUCGGAAUUACUGGGCUUAAAGAGUUCGUAGGUGGUUAAAAAAGUUGGUGGUGAAAUCCCAGAGCUUAACUCUGGAACUGCCAUCAAAACUUUUUAGCUAGAGUAUGAUAGAGGAAAGCAGAAUUUCUAGUGUAGAGGUGAAAUUCGUAGAUAUUAGAAAGAAUACCAAUUGCGAAGGCAGCUUUCUGGAUCAUUACUGACACUGAGGAACGAAAGCAUGGGUAGCGAAGAGGAUUAGAUACCCUCGUAGUCCAUGCCGUAAACGAUGUGUGUUAGACGUUGGAAAUUUAUUUUCAGUGUCGCAGCGAAAGCAUUAAACACACCGCCUGGGGAGUACGACCGCAAGGUUAAAACUCAAAUGAAUUGACGGGGACCCGCACAAGUAGUGGAGCAUGUGGUUUAAUUCGAAGAUACGCGCAGAACCUUACCAACACUUGACAUGUUCGUCGCGACUCUAAGAGAUUAGAGUUUUCGGUUCGGCCGGACGAAACACAGGUGCUGCAUGGCUGUCGUCAGCUCGUGUCGUGAGAUGUUGGGUUAAGUCCCGCAACGAGCGCAACCCUCACUUUUAGUUGCCAUCAUUUAGUUGGGCACUCUGAAAGAACUGCCAGUGAUAAGCUGGAGGAAGGUGGGGAUGACGUCAAGUCCUCAUGGCCCUUACGUGUUGGGCU